AGCGAACGCUGGCGGCAGGCCUAACACAUGCAAGUCGAACGAAGUCUUCGGACUUAGUGGCGGACGGGUGAGUAACACGUGGGAACGUACCUUUUGGUUCGGAACAACUCAGGGAAACUUGAGCUAAUACCGGAUGAGCCCUUCGGGGGAAAGAUUUAUCGCCAUUAGAGCGGCCCGCGUUAGAUUAGCUAGUUGGUGAGGUAAAGGCUCACCAAGGCUACGAUCUAUAGCUGGUCUGAGAGGAUGAUCAGCCACACUGGGACUGAGACACGGCCCAGACUCCUACGGGAGGCAGCAGUGUGGAAUCUUGCGCAAUGGGCGAAAGCCUGACGCAGCCAUGCCGCGUGAAUGAUGAAGGUCUUAGGAUUGUAAAAUUCUUUUACCAGGGACGAUAAUGACGGUACCUGGAGAGAAAGCCCCGGCUAACUUCGUGCCAGCCGCCGCGGUAACAC
rnacentral:rRNA from 1 species